CAAUCACAGUGAAAGGGGUGAAGUAGUUUAGGAGAAAUGUGCCACGUCCCUCCUCCUAAACUCACAUCUGUCAUCCUCCAGGUAGCAGAAAGAUGGAUGUGUGACAGUCUGGACUCUCCCGACGUGCAGCUCGGUGAACAGAGAGGACUCUUUUACCCAGCAGCACCCUGUUGCUCAGGAUCAUCCUCCUGAUGUAACAAGCAGCAGCAGUCUUCGUGGGAUAUAACGCAUUUAUGCUUAUUCAUAAGCAGCGAAGCGGGGACAGAGAGACAAACACCGGGGGACAGAAGCGACGAGCAGCCGAGGAGGUGCAGACAGUGACACUCCAAAGAUCUCAUUCGUCUGUGAUGAGUAUCCCCAUCCACCAGAGACCAAAGGUCAGUCCUUGUUGUGGCCUCUGAAAUGAAAAGGAAGUGAUGUCAAUGAUUUUCUUGGCUCCCCUCCAUCACAGUCAUUCCUUCUCUCGUCCUCAAACCUGCUACAUCAAGGCAUCAGCAGCAGGAUUGAGGCUCUGGCCUUGGCUAAGGUCUAAGGUGAAUCUCCAGUUGACACCCAGAGCUCAGGGCUGCUGAUGGCUCCAUACCAAAUUUUGGGAUGAUCCUGGCUGACUUGGCAGCAUAGUUACUAGCUUGUGGGCAAUUUUGGUGUUUUGACCCUGGAAGGGGGAGCUGGAGAUGAAGGAGUAGGAGAGGAUGAGAAGAGGAGGGAGGCAGCGCUCAGACCCAAUACAACUUUUCCUUCACCAGUACAGCCUCAGCAUCGAACGCCUCAGGGAUCAGCCCGGGCUGCGCCAGUAUCAGCAGUAAGCUGGUCAGGCCUCCUGCCCCACACCUUGCCCUUCCCCCAGCCACACCUGCUCACUCAUGAUGACCCACUUCCAGGUGACGCCGCAAUCUAAGCAGCAUCUGACCUUGAUGGAUCUGAGCAUGCCCAGACAGUCUCUGUGGUGAUUUAAACCCGCACAGCACGACUGGCAAUGGACCUUUACCCUCUCAUCCUAGCCUAAUCCAGACUCCUGUCCUGCAGCAGAAGCACAGAGUCCACGCUCACCUGCAGACAGUCAGGGCAGUCCUGACCGGCUGCAGAUGCUGUAGACAGUUGGGAUGGAGAAGUACAAGUUCAGCAACCUAGGACAUUCAAAAGCUAUCCAUGGUUGGUCUCAGUGGAUCCUCCUACUUCCCAGGUGGAUUUUUAUUUUAUUUUUAACUCUUUAAGCGCCAGAGUCGCAAAUUGCGACAAGCAAUAUUGCUGAAUUAA